rnacentral:rRNA from 1 species
AUUGAACGCUGGCGGCAGGCCUAACACAUGCAAGUCGAACGGUAACAGGGAACAGCUUGCUGAUUCGCUGACGGGUGGCGGACGGGUGAGUAAUGUCUGGGAAACCGCCUGGUGGAGGGGGAUAACUACUAGAGACGGUAGCUACUACAGCAUAACGUCGCAAGACUAAAGAGGGGGACCUUCGUGCCACUUGCCCACGGAUAUGCCCAGAUGGGAUUUGUGAGUAGGUGGGGUAACGGCUCACCUAGGCGACCUACCCUAGCUGGUCUGAGAGGGUGACCGGCCACACGGGAACUGAGACACGGUCCAGACUCCUACGGGAGCAGGCGUUGGGGAAUAUUGCACAAUGGGCGAAAUCCUGAUGCAGACAUGCCGCUGGGAUGAAGAAGUCCUUCGAGUGGUAAAGUACUUUCAGCGGGGAGGAAGGGAGUAAGGGUAAUACCUUUACACAUUGACGUUACCCGCAGAAAAAGCACCGGCUAACUCCGUG